AACGUACGCUGGUGGCACGCCUAACACAUGCAAGUCGAACGAAGUAGCAAUACUUAGUGGCAGACGUGUGAGUAACAUGUGGGUAUCUACCCUUUGGCCUGGAAUAACACGAGGAAACUUGUUCUAAUACCGGAUAAGUCUUUACGGAGAAAGCUUUGUGCACCAUUGGAUGAGCCCGCACUUGAUUAGUUGGUUGGUAGGGUAAUGGCCUACCAAGGCUAUGAUCAAUAGCUGAUUUGAGAGGAUGAUCAGCCACAUUGGGACUGAGACACGGCCCAAACUCCUACGGGAGGCAGCAGUGGGGAAUCUUGCACAAUGGAGGAAACUGUGAUGCAGCGAUGCCGCGUGAGUGAAGAAGGCCUUUGGGUUGUAAAGCUGUUUGGUCGGGGAAGAAAAUGACUGUACCGGAAUAAGAAGGUCCGGCUAAAUUCGUGCCAGCAGCCGCGGUAAUACGAAGGGACCUAGCGUAGUUAGGAAUUACUGGGGGUAAAGAGUUCGUAGGUGGUUGAAAAAGUUGGUGGUGAAAUCCCAGAGCUUAACUCUGGAACUGCCAUCAAAACUUUUCAGCUAGAGUAUGAUAGAGGAAAGCAGAAUUUCUAGUUUAGAGGUGAAAUUUGUAGAUAUUAGAAAGAAUACCAAUUGCGAAGGCAGCUUUCGGGAUCAGUACUGA
rnacentral:rRNA from 1 species